AGCUGGAACUUAUUCUUGAUUCAGACGCUUAGAUAGAGAUGUUUGCAGCUGCCGUGCAGUUAGCUUGUACAAUUCGGCAUUGCACUCAUCUCGGUCUGAACGACUGGAUCGCACUCUACGCAUACAUUC
rnacentral:precursor_RNA from 15 species